UAAUGAUACUUCCGUCCCGUUUCUGCGGGGCGGCUCGCGGAGAUCCCGGGAGUGGUGAGAUUCCAAUGA
rnacentral:ncRNA from 1 species